GGGCUUGGACCCUUCACUUUUCUGGGAGCAAGAGUCCCUGACUUUUCAGCAUCCUAUGAGCCAAUCAGCAUGAAAGGGGAGUGUGUUAGCCACUGUGAAGAGUCUUAUAGCAUGCUUCCUUGCCUUUUCCUGCUGAUUGGAGCCAAUCACAGUGAAAGGAGGUAAGUCAUUGAGAAGACUCUUCUUGGCAGCUAACACUCCCCUUUCACACUUAUUGGUUCCUAGGGACAUCUGUCCUUGUGGGAGAAGACAUUAACAAGGAUCUCAUUCUCAACCCAACAGCAAAAAAUUGGGGGGGGGCGUUGCUGUAACUAACAUGAAGGGGCUGUGCACGUCUGAAUUGCCACUAUUUUAUUUAUUUAUUUAUUUUAUUACAUUUUUAGACCGCCCUAUAGCAAUAAGCUCCCAGGGCGGUGUACAGCAUAAUAAAACAGGUUAAAAUAAAAGUGGAUGUAAAUACAAUACACAGUAAAACAUAAUUAAAAAUUUUCAAUUUUCAAUUCAAAUUUAAAUUUUUUUAAAAUGCCUGGGUGAAGAGGUAGGUCUUUACCUGGCGCCGAAAAGAUAACAAAGAAGGCGCCAGGCGUAUCUCAUCAGGGAGGGCGUUCCAUAGUUCGGGGGCCACCACUGAGAAGGCCCUAGUUCUAGUUAUCGUUCUCCGUGCCUCCCUAUGCGUUGGGACACGGAGAAGGGCCUUCGACGUUGAGCGCAGCGACCGGGUAGGUACAUAGCGGGAGAGGCGUUCCGCCAGGUAUUGCGGUCCGAUGCCGUUAAGGGCUUUACUAUACUACUGGUGGGGAGGCAAUCAGGGCUGGGUCUGCAGCAGGUGGAGAGAGGUUUUUCCCCCUUGCCCCUCCCUGCGGCUGCUUUGGCAAAAAUCACUUCUUCAAUACUGCGGGUGGGUGUGAAACGGUGGAAUUGUUUGGGCAUGAUCAAAGGAGACCUGGGAUGAACUGAGAGGAGCAGUUUCCUGGGGAGAGGCAAUGUAUGUUCUAGACCUAGCAGAGUGUGUUAUCUAGUACAUUUUAAAUAGAGCUGGAACAAGGAACUGUUCUCUACGUAUUGCACACUAAACUCAUGCACUUAGAUUUGCAUCACUGGGUUCCAAUUUUGCUCUGAGCAUUUGUCUGUCAGCCCUUACAUUAAUACAAAUUAAUGUUUGUAUCUGUAGGCUAGAACUUGCCCAGACUUCUUUCUCUCUUGCAGUAGACGUGAUGCUUCCAGUUCAUUGGCUGCCGUGCAAAGAGAGGCUGAGGGGAGGAUUUCUCCAGCUCAUGUGUCUGAGAGAGGAGGAGGGGACAUCUUGGAAUAAUAAUAAUAAUAAUAACAAUAGUUUAUUUGUAUGCCGCCUUUCCAUAACAGUUUAUGCACAAGGCAGCUCACAACAUGAACAGAAAAAAAAUUACACAACUCGCUGUAAGAAAUAAAUUCAAAUGGUAAAUAAGUUAACAAAAACAUCAUUAAAACAUACAAUAAAAUGAUACAUCCUUACAAUUUCUGAUAAAAUCCAACAAUAAAAUACAAAAGCAUAAUCCCAAUAACAGCAAAACAAAAACCCAACCAUCAGAAAUUAAACUUUUACCCAAACAGAAGCCCCUCAACAACACCCCACAGUCAUGGUGGUCUUCGGAAGCAUGAAAUGUCACCAGAUCAAGAGAUCCAGAGGGAGCUGGCUCUGGAAGCAGAACUGGGACCAUCCCCACCUGACAACAACCCUGUCAGCUUCCACGCACAAUUCCUCUGGCAGAGCACAACCAACAGUGCCACUCCUGCGAAGCUGUACAAUUUCAGACCGCAGGAGAUGAUCACGUAUUUAUUUGCUCUACUGUAUGAGAUAUAUAUAAACCUCCCUGCACAAUAAUAUUAACUAGCACACCAAGGGAAGGGCCUUGUUGGAAACUCCCUCUCUUAAAUGCGUGCGUUUGUUUUUCAUGUGCGGGAGCAUUUUUCCAUUCCAAUACAUUGUCGCCACCUGCAGUUUGACAUGCUGCAUGGCUCCUUCACAUGGAACAAAUUUCCCAUACAAGCAAAAGUAGCACAAGAAAUGAUCAGUUGAUGAUUCAGUAAUGGAAACUAAUGAGACGAUAUGGUCUUUAGGUAUCUUGCAGCUUCUCUGCAGCAUUUGGAGAGAGAAGUCAAGAAGUAAGUGGGAGCCAGCUGCAGUUUAAAUAAAUAAAUAGAAACCCAGGGAGAGAGGGUUGAGUUGCAUCAAGGCUGACGUUGAUCCAUCUCGUGGUUACAUUGGGGGACCUGAUGCAAGGUGGUAGCCGUGCUGUUUGCUUGCAUCUGUCUCCAAGUGCUGUAUUUGUAAAUAAAGCAUGACAACGGAUGCGCUACUUUCCUUUGCAUGAGAGAGCCUACCGCAGGCAUAUGUCUCUAACAUGUUCUGUCAUCCAAAGGAAAGCAAUCUCUCUAGAACCAGAACUUCUCACUGUCCAGGGACGCAGGAUUAAGAACACAACUCUAGUUCAUGAAAUGGAAUAUGGAAGACUUGAAACGGUCAGGUGCAAUAUUCAUGCCCAGCUAUAUUUUGGUGAUGUUUUAACAAGCCUCCUUUGCAGUAACCAUCUCUUUGUUUGCUUGUUUGUUUAGAAAACUUUUACUCCUCCCUUCCAAGGCAUUUGCAUCUCUCUGGUUUACAGCAAUUAAAAACUAAGCCGUCCAUAAUGAAUAAAUCAACAGCACACAACCGGAAACAGACAGAGCAGUUUAAAAGCAUCUUCAAAUGAUGGUCUACUGCAGACAAAUGAUGUGUUCAGCAAGACAAAUGCUUGCCGAAAGAAAAGAAUAAAAAUAAACAUCAACAGAAGGACAGUUCAAUCAGUGAUUUGGGAAACGGACUGCCUUCCAGUCAAUUCCAACUUAUGGCGACCCUACGAAUAGGGUUUUCAUGGAUGAACAACAUACAGCAAAUUAUUUUAUCUUGUACAUGCGUUUCUCGAAUAAACAACCAAACAUAAAGGAUAAACUUAUGCAGUGUGGUUCUUUAAAGAGUUACUUGGAAGAAGCAGGGGAAGUCUGCUGCUGUGAUUGGUGGGCAACAGACAUGUGACUCACACUGGCCUGCUGAGCUUGAAUCUCUUUGAGGAACCGAGAGAGAGAGAGAGAAAAUGGCUGAAAAUGGAGGGAGAAAGCAGCAGCAGGUGGGAGGAAAAUGGCGGCUGAGACGGACGCUCAGUUGGGAGCUCCGCAAUUCUUCUAAGAAAGAAAGCAGAAAAGACCUAAACAACUUUAUGCCACCGCCUCUUAUUAUCAUCUAAUUGCUGUCGCCCCUGUUAUUGCUGUUACCUGGUGCCGUCGCGACCCUACUGCCGUGUUACUGCUGGGGUAUUGUUGCGGCUCUACAUUGCUGGCGCUGCUUCUUGCCGCCUGCCGCUUGCGUGCGGACGUUGCCCGGCACCGCGGCCGCCGUUACGGGCUGUGCCGCUACCCGGAGGAUCAUCAUCACUACGGCCUCGUGCUGCCACUGCAGCCGCCGCCUGCCGCUUGCGUGUGAAUGUUACCCGUGGACAUCACUGCUUGUGUGCGGGUGCUUCUCGUUGCCGCGGUCGCCAUUGUGGGCUGUGUCGUCGCCGCCGCGGGUGUUGCUGUGCUUACGGCCGCUUACGGAAGACUAUUGUGCAACCUUGGGCUGCCGCUGUUGCCAUCUGCCCGCUGGUGUGCUUCGUCGCUACCUAGGACUCCGCCCCUUCGCCGGGUGUGCUGUCGUCGUCGCCGCCCACUUGUUUAUGUGAGAGCUGCAGACGCUGCAGCUGUUAUUACGGACUGUGUCGCUGCUGGGUGCCAUCGCUGUGACUUUGUACUAUCUAUGGGCUGGCUUUGCCGCUGUUCGAGACGUCGGGGCCUUAUCGUCAUCCCGUCACUGUCGUCGCCACUGCCCCAUCUUGUGGGUCGUGUCGCCACCCGGAUCAUCUUCAUCACGACCUUGCGUCACCAACACAGCCAUUGUUGCUGUUGUUGCCCCCUGCUGGCCGUUGCUGUCUGUUUUGCUGGCUGGCUUUGGAUGCAUAUACCAUCUCGCAUUGGCAUUAUUGGGGUUUUAUCAUCACAACGGCUAUCUGCAUGGCACUGAUACCAUCUGUUAUUAGUAUAGCCAUAAAAUUAAAUAGUGUGCUGGGUGAUUGAUGUAUGAUUGUGUAGUAAUACAUUAGGUUGAUUGUAUGAGUGUGAAUAAUUUUGAUUCACAUUUAAAUACUGGAAUGUAUGGAUGUGGAGAAUUUUGGGAUUUGAAUUUUUAGUGCUGCAUUCUUAAUAGAGCAGCGAGCAGUCUCCGGGGGUUUGUGGUGGAUUUUGUUUUUUGUUUUUGUUAUUAGUAGGGUAGGCCUGUCCUCCAGGCAACAGGGAUAGGGGCAUGUGUAAACCAAGGGGGGAGGUGUCAGAGAAGGAUGGGGACCAAGUCAUACCAAGGUUGGGCAGCAGGCACUGGAUUGAUGCUAGGGGAGGACCACGUCAGGUUAGAGGAACAAGGGAUAGAUGCGUAAUAUCCAUCCCCUGUUCCGGGUCUGCCCAAACCCAGAAGUCAACUGGGGGACGCAGGAUUCCUACCGACCUUCGACUGCUGCUGUGUAAUGCCAGGUCUGUAACGCAAAAAAAUCUAUCAUCCAUGAUAUGAUUCUGGAUGAGUGUGCAGACCUGGUGUGUAUCACAGAAACCUGGUUGGACGAGGCCUCAGCACCCAUUCUUGGGGCCAUGUGUCCACCAGGUUUCCAUUAUGCGCAGCAACCGAGGGUCGGAAGGCGGGGAGGGGGUGUGGCAGUCAUCUACCAGGAGUCUCUGGUCUUCACCAGGCCUCCGCUCCCAAGGACCAAGUUUGUUGACUGCAUGUACUGGAGGUUGGGCCCGAAGGGCAGUUUAGGGAUCCUGCUUGUGUACCGCCUGCCCCGCUGCACGGCAGACUCCCUGACCGAGGUGCUUGAGGUGGUCUUGGAUGUACGAACGCUGUCCCCAGAAUUGUUAGUAUUGGGAGACUUCAACGUGCAUGCCGAGACCACUCUCAUUGGAGCCCCUCGGGAUUUCCUAGAAACCAUGGCUUCUUGGGAACUGUGCCUUAGUAAUACUGAGCCCACACAUGUAGCCGGUCAUGCUGUCAACCUCGUAUUUGUCCUGGGAGUGGAGGGGAGUGGUCUGAAGUUGGGGGCUAUUUCUUCGACCCCCAUGUCAUGGUCAGACCACUAUCUGGUGAACUUUGUUCUCUCAAUGCCACACACCCUCUGCAGGGGUAAAUGACUUAUUAAAAUGGUCCGCCCCAGGCGCCUGAUGGAUUCCUGACUGCCCUUGGGGAAUUGGAACCUGCUGAAGGUCGCCUGGUCGAAACACUGGUGAUGGAAUGAGGGAAUCACCAGUGCAUUAGACCGGGUGGCUCCGAAACGUCCUCUCCCCCUGAAUAGAACUCAGACAGCACCGUGGUACACACCCCGGUUGCGUAGUCUGGGACAGGAGGUCAGACGACUAGAACGCCAGUUGCGGAAAUCCCAUUCUGAAGAUGUCCGAACACAGGUUAGAGCAGCAAUAGCUGCCUACCAGGUGGCAAUAAAGGCAACAAAGAAGGAUUUCUUUGCUGCCUCUAUUGCAUCCGCAGAGUGCUGUCCCAGGAAGCUGUUCCAGGUGGUCCGAAGCCUGGUCGGUCCAGUCGCUCAGGAACCCCUGGAACAUUCUAAGGCUUCCUGUGACAAAUUGGCAAAGCACUUUGCGGAUAAAGUCGAACAUCUAAAGAACUCGAUUCCAUACGCCGUGGAUGCGGUAGAUGAUCCUGAGUUGGCCAGCUGCAAUCCGGUUUUAUGGGAUCUGUUUCGGCCUCUUCCUUCUGAGGAUGUGGACAAGGUACUUUCAACUGUAAAGCCUACCACCUGUCUGAUUGAUCCUGGCCCAUCAUGGUUCCUUGUGAACUGUAAAGAAAGAUUGGGCGAAUGGAUUAGGGUGGUGGUAAAUGCAUCCUUGAAGGAGGGUGUAAUGCCACCGGCCCUCAAGGAGGCAAUUGUAAGACCUAUCUUGAAAAAAUCCUCCUUGGAUCCCCAAGUUUUGAACAACUUUCGCCCUAUUUCGAAUUUACCAUUCUUGGGCAAGAUCAUUGAGCGAGUGGUGGCAAAUCAGCUGUCAGCACACUUGGAGGAAACGGAUUAUUUGGAUCCAUACCAAUCGGGUUUCAGGACUGGACAUGGUACUGAAACAGCCUUGGUCGCUUUGGUUGAUGAUAUGAGGAGGGCUAUGGAUAGGGGAGAAUUCACCUUCCUUGUCCUCCUGGAUCUCUCAGCGGCUUUUGAUACCGUUGACCACGGUAUCCUGUUAGAUCGCCUGGGAGGGUUGGGAAUAGGAGGCACUGUUUUACAGUGGUUCCGUUCCUUUCUCUCUGACAGGCAUCAACAGGUAGCAUUGGGGGAUGAGAUUUCAGACCCUUGGUCUCUCACUUGUGGAGUGCCACAGGGUUCUAUUCUCUCUCCCAUGCUAUUUAACAUCUAUUUAAAACCGCUGGGUGGCAUCAUCAGGAGAUUUGGGCUGCAGUGUCACCAAUAUGCUGAUGACACGCAGCUCUAUCUCUCGUUUAAAUCUUCACCGGAGUUGGCUGUGGAGACCUUGUCCAAGUGCCUGGAAUCCGUGAGUGGAUGGAUGGGAAGAAACAGGCUGAAGCUCAAUCCUGAUAAAACCGAGGUACUGCUUGUGGGUGACGGGAAAGUUGGGUAUUGUUGACCUGGAACUCAAUGGGGUAAGAUUGCCCCUGAAGGAUCAGGUCCGCAGCCUCGGGGUUAUUCUUGAUUCCAAGCUGUCCAUGGAGGCUCAGAUUUCGGCAGUGAGCCGGGCAGCUUGGUAUCAGUUACACCUGAUACGGAGGCUGCAACCCUACCUCCCUGCUCAUCAGCUCCCACUGGUAGUGCAUGCACUGGUCACCUCUCGACUGGACUACUGCAAUGCGCUCUACGUGGGGCUACCCUUGAAAACGACCCGGAAACUACAGCUGGUACAAAAUGCGGCGGCCCAUUUGCUUACAAAUAGCCGCCGCCGUGAUCACAUUACGCCGGUGUUAGUUCAUCUACACUGGCUUCCAGUUGCUUUCCGGGCCCAAUUCAAGGUGUUGGUAUUAACCUUUAAAGCCCUAUACGGUCUCGGCCCAGUUUACCUGAAGGAGCACCUCCAGUACCACCAACUUAGCCGCCUGACUAGAUCAGCCACGCAGGGCCUUCUCUCAGUACCACCAACGAAAACAGCUAGGUUGGUGGGAACUAGGGAGAGGGCAUUUUCAGUGGCGGCCCCCACUCUCUGGAACUCCCUCCCGUUCGAUCUUCGACAUGCCCCUUCCCUGGAUGCAUUCCGCCGAGCAUUAAAAACCUGGCUCUUUGGACAGGCCUUCGGGACCUCCGGGGUGGGCUAAGCUUUUAUCACUAUUACUGAACGCCCGUUGUUUACAUACUGUUUUAUGCUGUAAUUUAAUCCUUUAUUGUCGACUGUAUUGUAUUGCUAUGUAUUUUAAAUUGUAUUUUAAAUUGUAUUUUACUGGAAUUUAAUUGUGUACGUCGCCUAGAGUGGCUUUGGCCAGAUAGGCGACACAAAAAUUAAAUUAUUAUUAUUAUUAUUAUUAUUAUUAUUAUAGCUCAUUUCCAUUUUGAAAAAUUAAUUAAAACGAUUUACAUGCAGGCAAAGUUGAUUAAGUAGAUCAACACAUUUAAAGCACAUCCAACUCACAUUUAAAGCCCAUGACUUCGCCUAAAGAAUCCUGGGAAGUGUAGUUUCCCCCUCACAGUUAUAGUUCUCACCACCCUUAACAAAUGAAAAUUCCCAUGAUUCUGUGGUGGGAUUCAUAUGCUUCAAAUGGGUGUUGAAUGUACUAUAAAUAAAUGUUGUAGGUAUGAUGUGCAUUCAAGAGUGAAUUGCAAAGAAAAUUUUUAAAAGAUACUUUUUUGAACAGGGGGAGGGUUGUAGCUCAUAGUUAGGGCAUAUGCUUAGCCUUGUAUGGCAUGGGACCACAAUACCUGAUGCAACGCCUCUCCCGAUAUGAACCUACUCGUACACUGCGCUCAGCAUCGAAGGCCCUCCUCCGGGUGCCUACUCAGAGAGAAGCCCGGAAGGUGACGACAAGAAAAAGGGCCUUCUCAGUGGUGGCCCCCGAAUUAUGGAAUACUCUUCCUGAUUACAUGCGCCUGGUGCCAACAUUAUUAUCUUUCCGGCGCCAGGUAAAAACCUUCCUCUUCUCCCAGGCAUUUUAGUAUUUUAGCUUUUUAGCAUUCUAGCAUUUCUGCAUUUCUGCAUUUUAGUAUUUAAUAUGCAUUUAAUAUGUGUUUAAUUAUCUGGAAAAAAAAAUUGAUAGAUAUAUUUCUUAAAGAAUUGAAACCUCUCUUUGACUUUUUGUGGAAAGAAUAAAGUAAUGUUUAUGAGAUUUGAUGAUUAAGUAAGAUAACUACUGGAGGAAAGUGAUUUUAUAAUAUGACUUAAGAGACAGGAUUGUUAUAUAUUAUAGACUUAUAACUGAUU